UACGUAGGGUGCAAGCGUUGUCCGGAAUUAUUGGGCGUAAAGGGCUCGUAGGCGGUCCGUCACGUCGGGAGUGAAAACUUGGGGCUUAACCCCCAAGCCUGCUUCCGAUACGGGCGGACUAGAGGUAGGCAGGGGAGAACGGAAUUCCUGGUGUAGCGGUGAAAUGCGCAGAUAUCAGGAGGAACACCGGUGGCGAAGGCGGGUCUCUGGGCCGAUACUGACGCUGAGGAGCGAAAGCGUGGGGAGCGAACAGG
rnacentral:rRNA from 1 species